rnacentral:rRNA from 1 species
UGGCGGCAGGCCUAACACAUGCAAGUCGAGCGGUAGAGAGGUGCUUGCAUCUCUUGAGAGCGGNGGACGGGUGAGUAAUGCCUAGGAAUCUGCCUAGUGGUGGGGGAUAACGUUCGGAAACGGACGCUAAUACCGCAUACGUCCUACGGGAGAAAGCGGGGGGAUCUUCGGACCUCGCGCCAUUAGAUGAGCCUAGGUCGGAUUAGCUAGUUGGUGAGGUAAUGGCUCACCAAGGCGACGAUCCGUAACUGGUCUGAGAGGAUGAUCAGUCACACUGGAACUGAGACACGGUCCAGACUCCUACGGGAGGCAGCAGUGGGGGAAUAUUGGACAAUGGGCGAAAGCCUGAUCCAGCCAUGCCGCGUGUGUGAAGAAGGUCUUCGGAUUGUAAAGCACUUUAAGUUGGGAGGAAGGGUAGUAACCUAAUACGUUGCUACUUUGACGUUACCGACUGAAUAAGCACCGGCUAACUUCGUG